GUGAGGAAUAUUGGUCAAUGGGCGCAAGCCUGAACCAGCCAUCCCGCGUGCAGGAAGACGGCGCUAUGCGUUGUAAACUGCUUUUCCAGGGAGAGAAACUUGCGCACGUGUUGCGCAAUUGACGGUACCCUGGGAAUAAGCAUCGGCUAACUCCGUGCCAGCAGCCGCGGUAAUACGGAGGAUGCGAGCGUUAUCCGGAUUCAUUGGGUUUAAAGGGUGCGUAGGCGGACUAUUAAGUCAGUGGUGAAAUCCUGCAGCUUAACUGCAGAACUGCCAUUGAUACUGAUAGCCUUGAGUUUGGUUAAGGUAGGCGGAAUGUGUAAUGUAGCGGUGAAAUGCUUAGAUAUUACACAGAACACCAAUUGCGUAGGCAGCUUACUGCGCCGACACUGACGCUGAGGCACGAAAGCGUGGGGAUCGAACAGGAUUAGAUACCCGUGUAGUCC
rnacentral:rRNA from 1 species